rnacentral:rRNA from 1 species
CCCAGACUCCUACGGGAGGCAGCAGUGAGGAAUAUUGGUCAAUGGGCGGGAGCCUGAACCAGCCAAGUCGCGUGAGGGAAGACGGUCCUACGGAUUGUAAACCUCUUUUGCCGGGGAGCAACGGGGUCCUUGCGAGGGCCCAAUGAGAGUACCCGGAGAAAAAGCAUCGGCUAACUCCGUGCCAGCAGCCGCGGUAAUACGGAGGGUGCGAGCGUUAUCCGGAUUUAUUGGGUUUAAAGGGUGCGCAGGCGGUCUGUUAAGUCAGCGGUCAAAGCCCGGGGCUCAACCCCGUCGUGCCGUUGAAACUGAUGUUCUUGAGUGGGCGAGAAGUAUGCGGAAUGCGUGGUGUAGCGGUGAAAUGCAUAGAUAUCACGCAGAACUCCGAUUGCGAAGGCAGCAUACCGGCGCCCAACUGACGCUGAAGCACGAAAGCGUGGGUAUCGAACAGGAUUAGAUACCCGCGUAU